AUGCAGAGCAACGCUGAUACAUAAAAAAAGUACCAACCGUUGACGUGUUCUUUUUAACUAGCCUUGUGAAGAAAGCAGCAUGGUCAGGGCGGUUUGCUCCAAAACCUACGUAAGUCCUCGUCGUCCUUUUGAAAAGGCGCGUUUAGAUCAGGAAUUAAAGUUAAUUGGAGAAUAUGGUCUCAGAAAUAAACGAGAAGUUUGGCGUGUUAAGUAUUGCUUAGCUAAAAUUAGGAAAAGAGCCAGAGAUUUGCUAACCCUUCCAGAAAAAGAUGCACGUCGUCUGUUUGAAGGAAAUGCUUUACUUCGACGCCUUGUUCGUAUUGGAGUACUUGAUGAAGGAAGAAUGAAGCUAGAUUAUGUUUUAGGUUUAAAAGUAGAAGAUUUUUUGGAAAGACGUCUACAAACUCAAGUGUUUAAGUUGGGUCUCGCUAAGUCUAUUCACCAUGCUCGUGUUCUUAUCCGACAAAAGCAUAUUAGAGUGCGAAAGCAGUUAGUUAACAUCCCAUCAUUUAUCGUGAGACUUGACUCUCAAAAGCACAUAGAUUUCAGUACUAAUUCACCAUUCGGUGGUGGUCGACCAGGACGUGUUUCAAGAAAAAACAUGAAGAAAGGUGGCAGUGGAGGAAACGAUGAAGAAGACGAAGAUGAAUAGACGUUCAAGCAUUUCAUCAGCUUCAUAACUAAAGGGUCACUACAUUACUAAGCAUUAUUUGCUUGUAUAUGUACAUCCUUAUUUGCUUCAUAACUGAAAUUGUUGUUAGUUUAGCAAAGAUUAUAUUGAAAUCUGGCAUGUGAUUGUUUUGUUAGGCGGUUAAUAAAGAUCAUUUGUCAAAUAAAUCUAAAUACUGUACAACAAA